rnacentral:tRNA from 1 species
GGAUUGUGGCUCAAUGGUAGAGUGCUCGCCUAGCACUGGCGAGACCCGAGUUUGAUCCUCAGCACCA